rnacentral:rRNA from 1 species
AUUGAACGCUGGCGGCAGGCCUAACGCAUGCAAGUCGAACGGUAACAGGAAGAAGCUUGCUUCUUUGCUGACGAGUGGCGGACGGGUGAGUAAUGUCUGGGAAACUGCCUGAUGGAGGGGGAUAACUACUGGAAACGGUAGCUAAUACCGCAUAACGUCGCAAGACCAAAGAGGGGGACCUUCGGGCCUCUUGCCAUCGGAUGUGCCCAGAUGGGAUUGGCUAGUAGGUGGGGUAAGGGCUCACCUAGGCGACGAUCCCUACAUGGUCUGGGGGGGGGACAGGCCACAUUGGAGCUGAACCACGGUCCAGACUCCUACGGUAGGCAGCAGUGUGGAAUAUUGCACAGUAGGGGGAAGCAUGAUGCAGCGAUGCGGAGUGUAUGGAGAAGGCCCUGGGGGUGUAAAGUACUUUUAGCGGGGGGAAAGGGAGUAAAGUUAAGACCAUGGCUCAUUGACGUUAACCGCAGAAGAAGCACCGGCUAACUCCGUG